GACUGCUCCAGUGUCCUAGUGGUUAGAGUGUCUGCCUCAGAUGCAGGAGGUCGUGGGUUUGAACCCUGGCUAGGUCA